rnacentral:rRNA from 1 species
AUGGCGACCGGCGCACGGGUGAGUAACACGUAUCCAACCUGCCGAUAACUCGGGGAUAGCCUUUCGAAAGAAAGAUUAAUACCCGAUGGUAUAAUCAGACCGCAUGGUUUGAUUAUUAAAGAAUUUCGGUUAUCGAUGGGGAUGCGUUCCAUUAGGCAGUUGGUGAGGUAACGGCCCACCUAGUCAACGAUGGAUAGGGGUUCUGAGAGGAAGGUCCCCCACAUUGGAACUGAGACACGGUCCAA